UGACUCUCGCGCAGAUGGAUUGUCAUCCAUCUGGAAUUUUGGUGGUAACCUUGCUGUUCUAGCUCGAACGUGAUUGGAGAAAUUAGGUAACAGUGACGUACUACUUCAACCAAUCACAUCGAAACGGGCCGUGACGUAGUUGUCUGCGACGCGCGAUAGAAGCCACAACAGAGCAGUUAGCAUGUUGACAGUAGUUCCAGUCCAGCUAGCAUGUGUAUAGUGGAUCAUUGGUGGCAUUUGAACGGCAAGCCGCCUGUGGUAUGCCACCUGUGUCCGACAUCGGACCACUGACGGUUACAAAACACACAAGGCAUCGGUGGAUUUUGGUUGGCAAUCCGACAUAGUGCACGAGUACUCUGCAGGGUCCAAACAGCGGCAUGCUACCUGACAAUCCACCUACGUGAGAGCCAGGUUACAUGCUACCAGCCCCUAGGACCAAGGAGGACCGGCUACUCAUUUGGUGCCAGCAUCGUUUGCAUCAGAUAAAUCACAACAAAGAUAUGGUGACCCAAGACCCACGGUUAUAUAAGGAGGUGUAUGAAGAAACGACAGCAUAGAGGACCCAUAGAGCACAUCCCCUCACAGAUUCCAUGCCUUUCAAAAUAUUAGAACAAGAUUUCAAGGCAUUUUCCUUAAAGAACUUGCAACAUUUCAGGAGCGCGUCACCAUUUGGGUUUUCAUUUUGUACAAUACAUCACCUAACACCAAGAACGCUACAUUUUGUAAGCUAUGUUUCUUGCAUUGCCAGUAACCAAUAUUUAAAAGAAAAAAAUGUGUAUAUAUAAAUUGAUAUCUUAUUUGUCAUUAUUUACACUUUCAUUACUGUACAUUGAAAAAAAUUAGACAGUGUUUUCUUUUCACAAUAAAAUUGUAUUUACAUAUGUUCCAAUUACUUGUGUACACCAUUAUUUACACCAUUUGUUCAAUAUUCGGUUCGAUAUUGUGACAAGAUUCCACUUCUUUGUUCCUAAUGGAUGAUGGUUAGAUUCUGAACUAAUGCUGUGUUACAUGUUCCAUUAUGUCUAUGAAUCUGUCAUUAGGGAGAGUCAGUCACAAAAAGCCUCGCUCACAACCAGUAGCAUGAAGUACCUUAAAACCAUAGGUUGUUUUGUAACUGAUGUCAAAUGUAAGGACUGUUGUUGACUGCUGCCUCAUUAGGCUUUGUCCCAAACCCAGAGCAGACAGUCUCGUUAAUGAAAGUGGCACAUCUGGUAUUUAAGUACACAUGUUCUGUACAGCUGUCAGCAGACCAUGAUAACAUUUCCAACUCUUCAGUAAUGUCUAGAUCUUGGUGGAGUAGUGUAGUGUAGAUUCUAUACACAUGUGGUUGUACAGGCGCAUUUUGAAACAGGCUCAACACAGAAGACCAAAGAAAUGGAAUUGUGGUAGGUGCAACACGUAUGACCUGGCUGGCUCCAAACUUGUGGUGCGCAUGCUCUGUGCCAGCCAUUACUGAACUCACUGUCUUGUAUACCUAGAGUGGUCAUUUGAUGGUUUACAACAGUACAAGUGAGGGAAGAGCCUAAUUCAAUUUCCACUGUACAUGUGUAGCAGCUGGAUGACCCGGUCUGUGAUGACAAUCCCAGCAGACGCUGCCAACUCCAUGACUUGCCUACCUGAAAACAACACACAAUGUUAAAAUAGAAUCGGCAAACAAGGCAACUGUAAUU